CUGUUAACCAGGAGGAAGUGGAACUGAGAGAAGGUGAAAUCCAGAUCUAAGAGGAGACGGAGAGAUUCAGGGAGGAGCUAAGAUGUUACUGAACUAUAGAAGAGAGAGGAACUUCUGUAUUCAGCAGAGUUCAAUACACAAACCAUCAACAUUACCUUCAUUCAACAUGCUCUCAUUGGACUGUUAUGGACUUUCUCUACUGUUUGUCACUAUUCUAACAGGUGUCAGCUGUGAAGAACUCACUCCAGUCAAGAAUGAAGAGUCCAGUUUAGAAGACAGCACUGUUACUCUGUCCUACACAUACUCUGACCUGAAACCUAGUGAUUAUUUCUUCUGGUAUCGACAAUAUCUAGGAAAACCACCAGAGUUCAUCAUCUCCAUCUCUGGUCUUAGUGUUACAAGACCAGCAGAAUCUCUGAAAUCAGACACAAAGUUCUUCACUAAACUGUUUGAAGAAAAGGAUGGUGUGGAUCUCCAGAUCUCCUCUGCUGCAGUGUCACACUCUGCUGUGUACUACUGUGCUGUGAGGCCCACAGUGACAGGAAACACCAAAACUCUGUACAAAAACCUUUGGAGCAAAGACAACACAAUACUCCACAACGUCCACUAGAGGGAGUCACACUCUGUUCCACUUCAACAGGAGCUGAUGAUCCAGUCUAGAUUGUUUCUCCUCAUGAGUUCAGAAGGAAACAAAACCAGACUGGACAGAGGGUCCUUCUCU